rnacentral:rRNA from 1 species
AUACGGAGGGUGCAAGCGUUAAUCGGAAUUACUGGGCGUAAAGAGUACGUAGGUGGUUUAUUAAGUCAGAUGUGAAAGCCCCGGGCUUAACCUGGGAACUGCAUUUGAUACUGGCAAACUAGAGUAUGGUAGAGGCGGGUAGAAUUCCUAGUGUAGCGGUGAAAUGCGUAGAUAUUAGGGGGAAUACCAGUGGCGAAGGCGGACCGCUGGACCAAUACUGACACUGAGGUACGAAAGCGUGGGUAGCGAACAGGAUUAGAAACCCUAGUAGUCC